UAAUCUUCAAGCGCAUUACAUCCAUUUUCAAGCGCAUCUCAUCCAUCUUCAACUGCAUUGCAUCCUUCUAGAUCUUGUGAUCAUCGACGACAUCGACAACAAGCAACUCCAGUUACAUAUUCUUCUCCUCAAUUAUUUUACAUUUUUUCUUCAAGUAAUUUUUUUCAAUUAAAUUUAACCUCUCGACAAGAGGGUCGGUUGGAAUUUCCGGUUCACAUACAUCCUAGAUAAAAACAUCCAUGUCGCGUUGGUCGGCAUAAUUGUCAUAGGCACUAAAUGAAACAAAUAGUUAUAAAAGAAAAU
rnacentral:lncRNA from 1 species